GCCGUAAAUUCAUGGGAGAGGCUUUAUCCAACAAUCUUAAGAUUUAUGGUAGUCAUCUUCGGGGUGAGUCUCUGUGGAGAUAACUGGUAUCUGCUGAGGGAAGGUAUCUGCUGAAGGGAGCUGAGGCAUCCCUUGAAUGUUAUACUCCUGUGCCGUAAAUUCAUGGGAGAGGCUUUAUCCAACAAUCUUAAGAUUUAUGGUAGUCAUCUUCGGGGUGAGUCUCUGUGGCCAAACAGCCCAGAGUCACUUUGAACCAUGCAGUCAAAAAGCGGCUAGGCCCAAAUCCAAUAUGGCUCCGUGCAACAUAGCUUCUAAAAUGUAUUUUCUUAAACACAACAAUUACAGGUGGAUCAACACAGCUAUAUUCCUGCAAUGUUCCUUACAGUAUACGUGAGGUGAUAUACGCUAAAGUCCAACUUCUUGAACUGGAGGUAACUGAAUGUGGAGAAUACAUGCUAUUUCAUCGGAGUAAAAAGGUUAAUGUGUAAUGGCAAAAAUAAAAUAAAAACAAGCCCACAGCCAAAAACGUGCUCAACCCACAUCAGCGUGCCAGGGAAUAUUGGUGCACAGAGAAUGGCUUACCGAGUUCUUGGCCACAUUGAGACUUUGCUUUUGCCUUAUCAAAAUUAAACUGUACCAUCCGAUCGAUGGCAUAUGUGUUUUGGCAAGUCUCUUUCUAAACAGGUCCCAACGUAGCACAUACCUGAGUGGCUUCUCAAGAUUUUCUUCCACUAAAUUAUGUUUCCCUCCACUCACUUCUUUGGUCAUGUUUUAACUAUACAUUUUUUUUAAGAUUUUAUUUAUUUUAUGUAUAUGAGUACACUGUCCCUCUCUUCAGACACACCACAAGAGGGCAUUGAAUCCUAUUAGAGAUGGUUGUGAGCCACUAUGUGGUUGCUGGGAAUUGAACUCAGGACCUCUGCAAAAGCAGUGUUCUUAAACGCUCAACCACCAUUCCAACCCACAUGAUUUGUUUUGUUUUGUUUUUGGGUUUAAGUGUUCUGUUUUUGUGACAAGGUCUUGUGGUUCAGGCUUUCCCCAAAUUCAUGCAGAAGCGGCCCUUGAGCCCCCUACCCCUUGUUUCCUCCCUAACUUGCUGGGAUUAUACUACCACCACCUAGCUUGUUUCUGUUUCAGGACAUUAAGAUGUCGUUGCAACUGUAUUCCUGCAGAGCUUCAAUUCCAGUCCACUAUUUCCUAGAUCCUUGCCUAAACUGAGGAAUAAUUUGAGGACUUUUGGGGGGUCCUGCUCCGGGUUUAAUUGUACAGACACCGGAGACAUCUAGAUAAAUAUAUGGCUGUUGGCCUGCCUGUUUGCUGGGGCAGUCCCUCAGCUGGCCCAUCUACUUAAGCCGACCGAGUUCUUGCCACUGUGUCCCUACCAUGAGUCUCUACCUCCCUGCUCCGUUCUUGUCCCUGCUUGUCUCCUGCCUGUCCUUCUGCCCCAGCUCCAGCUGCCAGCUCUUUAUUCUACAAGAGGUCACACACCUAACUAUUCCAGUCUGAGCCAAUCAGCAGGGUGACAACGCCCGGCCUAUCUAUCUCUGUUGCCUUUUGGCAUUGAGGACUAUGUGACCUCCACACCUCGGCAGCUUGCUUUCUAAAACAUGGCCUCAAGAAAAUCUUUUGUGCAGGUGAGGAUGGAUAGAAAGCAGGGAGUGGCCCAUAGAAACACUACCAAAAUACCCGGCCAAGCCCUGCAAUUAAUAAGUGAAAAGACCGGACCACACCCACAUAGCCAUUUGAUGUGUGAACCUAGGUCAUCCCAACUGAAGAACCUCCAAAAAAAAAAAAAAAAAAAAAAAAAAAAAAAAA
ensembl:lncRNA